UACGUAGGAUGCAAGCGUUUGUCCGGAAUUAUUGGGCGUAAAGAGCGCGCAGGCGGUCUGCCAAGUCAGAUGUGAAAGAGGCCGGCUUAACCGGCAAGGGUCAUUUGAAACUGACAGACUAGAGUGCAGCAGAGGAUAGCGGAAUUCCCGGUGUAGUGGUGAAAUGCGUAGAUAUCGGGAGGAACACCAGUGGCGAAGGCAGAUCUCUGGGCCGUAACUGACGCUGAGGAGCGAAAGCAUGGGGAGCGAACAGG
rnacentral:rRNA from 1 species